rnacentral:rRNA from 1 species
CUUGACAUCCAGCGAACUUGGCAGAGAUGCCUUGGUGCCUUCGGGAACGCUGAGACAGGUGCUGCAUGGCUGUCGUCAGCUCGUGUUGUGAAAUGUUAGGUUAAGUCCGCAACGAGCGCAACCCUUAUCCUUUGUUGCCAGCGAUUCGGUCGGGAACUCAAAGGAGACUGCCGGUGAUAAACCGGAGGAAGGUGGGGAUGACGUCAAGUCAUCAUGGCCCUUACGAGUAGGGCUACACACGUGUUACAAUGGCGCAUACAAAGAGAAGCGACCUCGCGAGAGCAAGCGGACCUCAUAAAGUGCGUCGUAGUCCGGAUCGGAGUCUGCAACUCGACUCCGUGAAGUCGGAAUCGCUAGUAAUCGUGGAUCAGAAUGCCACGGUGAAUACGUUCCCGGGCCUUGUACACACCGCCCGUCACACCAUGGGAGUGGGUUGCAAAAGAAGUAGGUAGCUUAACCCUCGGGAGGGCGCUUACCACUUUGUGAUUCAUGACUGGGGUGAAGUCGUAACAAGGUAAGCGUAGCGAG